ensembl:lncRNA
GUUGAUCAGGGCCCUAUUCCCUAUAUAGUACACUACUGUUGACCAGGGCCCUAUUCCCUAUAUAGUACACUAAUUUUGAUCAGAGGCCUAUUCCCUAUAUAGUGCACUAAUUUUGAUCAGAGGCCUGUGAGGAAUAGGGGGCCAAUUGGGACGCAGACUGUAUGUGAAACUGAUCAGUUUUUAAAUGUUUCUGCGGUUCUUAUUGGUUGUCUGAUUCUCUGACCAUGUCUGUGGUUGUUAUGGUUACCGUCUGAUCCAGUUCAUACAGACUGUUUUGGUUGUUGUUUCUUUGUUCUGUUUAUCUCUCUCUCUUUUUGUGGUUUAACUGUCUGUGGUCAGGUUCUGGCCAAUCAGAUGGGUCCGUGGUCAGGUUCUGGCCAAUCAGAUGGGUCAGGUUCUGGCCAAUCAGAUGGGUCAGGUUCUGGCCAAUCAGAUGGGUCAGGUUCUGGCCAAUCAGAUGGGUCCGG